rnacentral:rRNA from 1 species
CAGCAGCCGCGGGAAUACAGAGGGUGCAAGCGUUAAUCGGAUUUACUGGGCGUAAAGGGCGCGUAGGUGGUUAUGUAAGUGAGAUGUGAAAUCCCCGGGCUCAACCUGGGAACUGCAUCUUAUACUGCGUAGCUGGAGUGCAGUAGAGGGUAGUGGAAUUUCCGGUGUAGCGGUGAAAUGCGUAGAUAUUCGGAAGAACACCAGUGGCGAAGGCGGCCCGCUGGACAUGUAUUGACGCUGAGGUGCGAAAGCGUGGGGAGCAAACAGGAUUAGAGACCCCUGUAGUCCCUGUCUCUUAUAC